GACGCAGCCGGAAGUUGGAACAUGACAACGAGGGCCCAAGAGUAGGACGGUGGAGUUUAUUCCGAGUAAGAUGGGACCCGGCCCUUAAAGAGGGAGUGAGAGGCACAGGGCGUGUUAUAAACAAGCUCUCGCCCGCGUUGGAGUCACCCACGCUUCCUUCCCGCCUCUGAGUUUUCCGCCUCAGGAAACAACACUGGGAUUUGCUUUUCCUUCUUCUAACAACAUAAAGGGCUGACGAGUGAGAAGGGGCCGUUCCCCUGGCAGGACCCACGGAUGUCUGAGCGUAUCUGUGCAGGGAUCACCUGCCGGAAACUCGAGACCAGGGCCCGGGCCGCGCAUCAGAUGGAGGCUGCGGCGUGUCAGCGCGAUACGCGUCCGUAUUUGCCAACAAGGGGGGAAAUGCUGGUUCUUGUGAUCCAGGAUUUACACAGGACGCUCCUGCAGGUGUCACCUUUCUCCCCUGCCCAUCCCAGCGGGCAUCUCAAAUUCCGCUCCCAACAAAGCGCUCCCUGUUGGCAGUCAGUCCUCAAAGGGAGGGCUUUGUUCCAGGCUAAAGAACCUCAUUCAACGGCGUUGGCAAGGGGCUGCCGUUCCCCGUGCCAGCUCCGCCUGGUAUUUCCAGCUCUGACCGGGCCUUCACUUGAGAGCUUCGGUUGGCCUUGUUUUCCACCUCUUGCCGGGAGAGCUCCCGGUCACAUGGCAUAUUUGCCGAGCAGGACAGACGUGCAGGCGGAGUGGACCCCAUUCUCUGCUCAAGGCUGACUUCAAGGCGUCGCCGGCCAAAUGAUGGCAAUGCCGGUGCCUCUGUGAUGCCCUUGGCCUGUUCCUGAAGGUCACAAGAUACAACACUUUUGUACUGAGGUGAAAUUCACAUCACAUCACAUUAAACAUUUCACAGCGGA